rnacentral:rRNA from 1 species
AUGACAGUUUUCUUGAGGGCAAGGCGGGGCACCGUCUGUGCAGGCGACGGCAGCAGGAGCGGCGGAGCGCCACAAUACCCGAGCACAACCUUGGUCGGACCGCCCCGCGACACCCCACGCGGAGCGCGGCGGCGGCGAGCGGUCCGGGAGCUCAAGGAGGCCCUUUUGCCAGCCGGCGUGACUGCGAGAGUGCCCGAGCUACCACGCCGAGGUGGCAGCCCGCUCUCCACGCAGGUCACAGCCAGACGAGCCGGAGGCUCCCGGCGCACGAUCGGCUGGUCCGCGGCCACGUCGUCAGCCUCCGCGAAACGCAGCUCCGAGGCCAGCGCGGGGGUCGGGGUGGGGGGACUCACUGACAUCUGCAUGUGCGAAAAAGAAAGUCGAAUGGACUUCAUCCUACCUGGGUGUGCACCUUCACGAGAAAAGAAUCCGCCUAGCUAA